ensembl:lncRNA
CUCCAUUCCAUGCCAUUCCAUUCCAUGUGUGUACAAUUGGGACGGAGGUGGAGGGAAAAAGGGAGGAAUGUCACGAGUAUAGCUACAGGGUAAAUGGCAAGAUGCCUGGCUAAGGACUGUUUGAUGACUGGAAUGUAAAAUCAGGGGCGGAGUGGAUGCAAUUGUUUAGUUGAGUUUCCUUUUACUCAUCAAGCUGCCAAUCUGGACAAGCCCAAAGCUGAGUUCUAAAACUUGAGCAGAUUAAUUGAGGGGAAGAGGGAGGUUAGAAACAAAGUUUCUGGGAAAAGGGGGAGGAGUUCUAGGAGGAGGAAGGAAGAGGGGAGAGCCCAUUGUCAGAGCAGUGAAUAGGCUAUACCCACUUCCUGGUGGAUUCCUGGACUGGAUGUAAAGCAUGGGCUGAGCCUAGGGAAUACAUGCAGGAGGCUGGAAGUGACAUCCUGGCAGGCACACAGUUGGAACCAGGAUAAAGGGCCUCCCUGGAAAAACCUGAAACAUUUACUGAGGAGGGUUCCCAGAGCACAUGGCCAAGAGCAAUAUUGGAUUUCAUGGUUGGAAAUGGAGCAUCUUUCUUUUGUUUCUCAGUCUCAUCCCAGAGUCUGACAAUACAGAGCCUAAAAUGAACCUACAGAAUCACUCACAUUAUUUUGCCAUAUUCAGCCUUGUUGUAUUCCUGCUAAUACCAUGUGUCUGCUACCUAAAACGACGAGGUAGUCAGAGAAGAGGUGAACUACAUACAGAGGAGAAUGGACAUUCCCAGAUGGCUUCUCCUCAGACCAAUGAAGAGAGUCUGAGGAUGCUUAAUAGAACAUCGCUAGUCACAACCAUACAAGAGGAUGUAGUAGGAAUGCGGAAUGGAGUUGGCACACAACAGGAAAACAGCAGAGAUCAGCACAGAUAAGAGUUAGGUGAUGAAGAAGGGAACAGCACAGAAUCUAUGGACCACAGGAGAACAGCACAGAUAGAAGUCUAACAACAUUGAUCAAAGAUGUGGGAUCUUGUAAAACACAUUUCAAUAUUGGUUGUUUGGUGAAAGAAAUCUCGAAUGAAAUUUAGGACCAAACAAGAAAUAGACAAUGUUGGGAAAUAAAAAAUGGAUAGUUUUGAUAAAUUAAAAAGAGGAAGAAUAGACACAGAGACAUUAUAUGAGGAAGAAGGGCUCAUGGUUCUGAAAACCUACUCACAUCAGGAAUGGUUUAAAUAGCCAACACAACAUUUAUAUCAUUUAUAUCCAUUUAUAUUUAUCAUUUACAUAUAUUCUUUAUACAUAUAUUUAUAUAUAUAAUAUAUAUUUAUAUCUAUUUAUCAUUUUUACAUAUAUAUAUGUGGAAUGGAGAGAUAAAGUGAAGAACUUACAGGAAUGCUUAAAUUAUUUUUCUGUAUUUUAUUUUUUAUUUCUGUGUUUCCCCUAUGAUCUGUAUAAUAUGUGCAGGCUCAUAUUUACUUGAGCCUUGGCCAGCUAUAAGCAUAUUUACUUAACCUGAGCUGAUGACAUUUGUUGGUAUUUGACAUUUAUCGAUAUUUAGUCUAUUAGCUUGACCACUAUCUGCUUAAUUAAGCCUAAAGGCCUCAGUUUCUGUUUCCUAGAAAUCAGGAGAUUUGGGGGAAACAGAAACCUUCCAUUCCAAUCUCUCAAAAUAGCAACAACCAAAUAUAUGUGUGUAUAUAUAUAUAUAUCACUUAUACCCCAAAAUCUAUUAAGAAAUAGACGGGGAGGAAUGAGUGGAAGAGAAAGCAAAAGGUGAGGAAAGAAAACAAGGGAGGGAUCCAUGAGUGGGGUGAGGUUAAGUAAUAGCAAGGCAAGUUAAGGAGCAGAAUUAAAGCAAAGAGUUAUCAGUAAUAGGAAAGAUGUGUGUUGUAUAUGUGUGAAAAGGGGAGCGGGUAUUUAUAUUUUUUAUAUUUAUACGUAAUUGGGGAAGUGAGGCAACAAUUGUUUGAUUGAGAAGUAAUUAAAUGUGUAAGGUAAUAAAGCAUAACUUUUUAUCACUUAUAAAUGAUUGGGGUUAUUUGAUUGAUAUAUUCAGAAUUAUAGGGGAAAUGUGUCAUUGCUACUCUUACUAUUUGAUUUUAUCAAGUUCCUUUUCUUUAAAUUGGUUGUGUAUCAGCAACAAGAUUAUGUGCUGAUCAACUAUGACAGACUUGACUCUUUUCAACAAUGAGGUAAUUUAGGGCAAUUCCAAUAGACAUGUUAGAGAGAGCCAUCACCAUCCAGAGAGAGACUGAAUAUGGAUCACAAUGUAGUAUUUUCACCUUUUUAAUUGUUGUUUGCUUGCUUGUUUUUUCUUUCUCAGUUUUUCCCUUUUGAUCUGAUUUUUUUGUGCACCAUGAUAAAUGUGGAAAUAUGUUUAAAAGAAUUGCAUUGGUUUAAUCUAUGUUGGACUACUUGCUGUCUAAAAGAAGAUGGAGGUGGGGAGGGAGGAAGAAAAAUUGGGAACACAUGGUUUUACAAGAGUAAAUUUUGAAAACUUAUUUUUGCAUGCAUUUUGAAAAAUAAAAAGCUUUUAUUAUUUUUAAUAAUAAAAUAAAUUAGUUGUAUAUUCUGGCUAUUGUGAAAAAGCAAACCUAUUGGUGACAGUUUUGGGGAUAUGGAUUUAAGCAGAUGUGAACUCACAGAAUACCUUGAAAUUGGUAAAUUCACCUUGUCUGGGAGACCAUGCAUCAGUUGGAAAGGAAUGGAGUGUUCCCAGAUACUAUAUUUGAAAAAAGCAAGAUGGAAAAGACUAGAAACUGACAUUUCCCCCAUAUAUUGCCACUAUCUUUUUAGAAAUAUAUGCAUUGCUUGCUGAUGACAUGAUGGUAUACUUAGAGAACCCCAGAGAUUCUGCUAAAAAGUUAUUAGAAAUAAUCCACAAUUUUAGCAAAGUUGCUGGUUAUAAA